GGCUCCGUAGCUCAGGGGUUAGAGCACUGGUCUCGUAAACCAGGGGUCGUGAGUUCAAGUCUCGCCGGGGCCU
rnacentral:tRNA from 1 species